rnacentral:rRNA from 1 species
UACGGAGGGUGCAAGCGUUAUCCGGAAUGAUUGGGCGUAAAGCGUCCGUAGGUGGUUUUGUAAGUCUGUGGUUAAAGCGUGGGGCUCAACCCCAUAACGGCCAUGGAAACUACAAGACUUGAGUAAAGUAGGGGUAGAGGGAAUUCCCAGUGUAGCGGUGAAAUGCGUAGAGAUUGGGAAGAACACCGGUGGCGAAAGCGCUCUACUGGACUUAAACUGACACUGAGGGACGAAAGCUAGGGUAGCAAAUGGG